GUUUUAAUAAUUUAAAUAAAAUAUUGGUCUUGUAAACCAAAAAUAAGAUAUCUUUUAAAACA
rnacentral:tRNA from 1 species